rnacentral:ribozyme from 1 species
UGCCCAGCAACUCCUAUCCCUACCUCCACGCGGUACCGGCCGGAAACUAUGAGCAACCUUAGGGAAGAUCGGGUUACCAACCCCGGUGGGAACUUUGGUCGUAGGCUGACAGGGAAGG